AAACCAGGAUUAGAUACCCUAUUAUAUUUAAACAAAUUGGGUAGUAUUAUUAAUAAAAACCUUUAUACUUUGGCGGCAUUUUAUCUUAUUAGAGGAAUAUGUUCAUUAAUCGAAACCACACGAUAGUUUUUACUUACUAUAAAAUUUUAUAUACCCCCGUCUAAAGAAUUUAUUUAAAAUUUUUAUUCCAAAUUAUAUUAAAAAAAGUUAGGUAAAGGUGUAGACUAUUAGUAAGAUUAAAUGUAUUACAUUAAAAAAAAUUUAAGGAUAAAACAGUUAACUGUUUAUUAAAAGAGGAUUUAUAAGUAAUUUACUUUUAAUAAAAAUUAAUGAAUAAGAAAAUAAAUGUGCACAUAUCGCCCGUCACUCUCACAUAUAAAC
rnacentral:rRNA from 1 species